rnacentral:rRNA from 1 species
UAGGGAAUCUUCGGCAAUGGACGAAAGUCUGACCGAGCAACGCCGCGUGAGUGAAGAAGGUUUUCGGAUCGUAAAACUCUGUUGGUAGAGAAGAACGUUGGUGAGAGUGGAAAGCUCAUCAAGUGACGGUAACUACCCAGAAAGGGACGGCUAACUACGUGCCAGCAGCCGCGGUAAUACGUAGGUCCCGAGCGUUGUCCGGAUUUAUUGGGCGUAAAGCGAGCGCAGGUGGUUUAUUAAGUCUGGUGUAAAAGGCAGUGGCUCAACCAUUGUAUGCAUUGGAAACUGGUAGACUUGAGUGCAGGAGAGGAGAGUGGAAUUCCAUGUGUAGCGGUGAAAUGCGUAGAUAUAUGGAGGAACACCGGUGGCGAAAGCGGCUCUCUGGCCUGUAACUGACACUGAGGCUCGAAAGCGUGGGGAGCAAACAGGAUUAGAUACCCUGGUAGUCCACGCCGUAAACGAUGAGUGCUAGAUGUAGGGAGCUAUAAGUUCUCUGUAUCGCAGCUAACGCAAUAAGCACUCCGCCUGGGGAGUACGACCGCAAG